GAGUCUCGGCCCCUCCCCUUCGGUAUGUGUCUUUCUCAUCCUGGAAGAAAGACCGCGGCGAAUUGACGACUUUGGACACUUUUCAAGAAGCUGCUGGAGACUUUACAUCCUCUCGUACGGACAAAGGCAGCCCAAACAUGUUGAUCAAAGAAUACCGAAUCGUCCUGCCUGUCUCAGUGGAUGAGUAUAAAGUGGGCCAGCUGUAUACGGUGGCAGAAGCCAGCAAGAAUGAGACAGGUGGAGGCGAAGGUGUUGAAGUGUUGAUCAAUGAGCCCUAUGAAGAAAAUGGGGAGAAGGGACAAUACACCCACAAGAUCUACUAUCUCAAUAGUAAAGUGCCCCGCAUUGUGCGUGCGCUUGCUCCAAAGGGAGCUCUUCAGAUUCACGAGAAAGCCUGGAAUGCCUAUCCUUACUGCAAAACCAUUCUUUCUAAUCCAUACAUGAAAGAAAAUUUCAAAAUUAAGGUUGAGACAUGGCACAAGCCGGACAUGGGAGAACAGGAGAAUGUACAUGGACUCGAGAAAAAUCAAUGGGAUACAGCUGACGUUGUACAAAUCGACAUUGCUGACAGAACCGCUAUGAGUGACAAGGAUUACAAAGCAGAUCAGGAUCCAGCCAUAUUUAAGUCUGAAAAAACAGGAAGAGGGCCCCUGGGACCUGAAUGGAAGAAAGAAAUUCUCAACAACCCCAGCUGUCCACAUAUGUGUGCUUAUAAGCUUGUCUCAGUAAACUUCAAGUGGAUGGGCUUGCAGUCAAAGGUGGAGGCCGUAAUUCAAAAGGUUUGGAAGUCAUAUUACCAUCUAGUGGGCUGAUAGAGUACAUGAACUGCAACGCAGAUGGAGAGGCGUAUUUUCACCCACUUCCACAGACAGCUAUUCUGCUUGAUUGAUAAAUGGAUCCAUCUUUCCAUGGAUGACAUCCGGAAAAUGGAGGAAGACACAAAAAAAGAGCUGGAUGAGAUGAGGCAAAAUGAUGAAGUUAAAGGCCUGGGCGUUGAUGAAUGAAGGGGUUGGGAGUCUUCAUGCUGACUCAACCUUGACACACUGGACCAAUACCUCCCCCUUCCUGAUCCAAGAAUGCUACAAUUCCUUGAUAGAUGCUUAAAUACAUGCUAAAGCAAUUGGGUUUAUUUAUGUACCUGAAUACAGACACACUUGUGUCACUUGACAAGUUUCCAACUGCUUAAAUCUUGUAAAUUUACUAGCACAAGGCUAUAUAUUUUGGUUUUCCCAUGGCAAUAAUUUAUCAUGUCUUUUUUUUAUUGUAGGUUUGUCAAUAACAGCUCAAGUUGCCAGACUUUUGAUUUACUUUAUCUUUUAAUACAACGAAACACACGUUGCUCUUGAGACUUUUGUUACGGCAGUUACUAUUGUUUGGGGCUUACAGAUGAUCCUUUUCGUAUCUCUGUAAGGUUUCCAUGUCAUCAUUUGCUUAACCACAAGAGAACACUUAAACCCCCAGGUGCCGUAUUUCCAUUAUAAAAGGCUCAGUCAAUGGAGGAGGAAAAUGCAGACUUAAUGGGUAGUUGAGUUAACUGCUGUUUGGGUGUAAAAAAACCUUUAUUUUCAGGUUUUUUGGGGGGGAUUUCAUUACACGCAGCGAGGUUGUGGACAUUUUGGCCAUGUACAGACACUGUAAUUUUAUGGUUUUUUUUUUUUUUUUUUCUUCAAAUAAAGUUACAGCUGCUUUUACUACA